UGCCCAGCAACUCCUAUGCCUACCUCUUCGUGGUACAGGCCGGGGUACGAGUAACCUUGGGGAAGAUCGGGUAAUCAACCCCGGUGGGAACUUUGGCGUAGGGUAACGGGGAAGG
rfam:Aedes aegypti strain Liverpool supercont1.409 genomic scaffold, whole genome shotgun sequence.